GAUUGUUUGCCGCAAACCCGACCCGAAUAUCCAGAUCGCUCAUCAAAUUAUCUCUCUCUUCACGCUUUACUGUGUGUUCUAGUGAAUCCAGAUUUACACAUUGCGCUAAAUCACGAACUUCAAUCAAGUAGCCUGAACGAUAAUCCGAGAUCUCGUUCUAAAAUUUGUCGUCUAUGAUAGGGCAUGGCGAUUAAGAGGGCAUCACAAUCCGGCGGAGGCAAGAGUAAAGGCGUUGGAUCUCGUGUAUUAGCUUCCAUCUUCGUCUUUUUCCUCACAUUCCUCGUCUUCUCCUUUCUAUUCGUCGGCCGCGGCCUUUCGUCACCGCCUCUUCCGGUCACAAUGAAUUAUCAAUACUGUCCAGCAGACAGGAUUUAGAUUGGAGAGGGAGGCUGGCAUUGCAUCAUCUUAAUUCUUUAUUCUCGAAAGAUGUAAUUGACGUUAUUAAUGCCAGUGCAAAUGAUUUGGGGC